UUCCAUCUGGGUACCACACUUAAAGGAAGAUGCUUAGGUCUGAAGCUACUCUACAGUUAGAGGCUUGGAAUGAUAUCCAUGAGGGUUGAUGAAAGACUGGGGGUUUGGAGAAGAAUUUGCUGCGAUGGCAGGAAUGUCUGGGGAGGGGCUGGCUAGAGAAGGUGCCUGGGAUGUGAUAGAUGUUCUUAGAUUCUAAGGAUUCAGAAAAGAAAUUAGGCUUGUCAUCUGUGACCUGAAGGACUGAAGCUAGGGUCAGUGGGUUUAAUCUAUAGAAGACAGUGGCUGUGAUAUAAUAGAAAAAAUAUAUAUUGGUCUCUGACCGCUGUUCCUGGCACAGAGCUCCUAAAGCCCUUGUAAUUUUGUGGGUGAUUAGAGUGUCUUGUUCUAACAGGGUGACUCUGGGUGGGCCCCUGGAUGAGGGCCGGUCACCAGAAAGACCAAGCCAUGAUUAGAAGCUUAGAAUUUUCGGCCCCUCCCCCAUUCUCUUGUGGAGGAAGAAGGGCUGAAAAUGGAAUUAAUGAUGGGUCAUUCCUACGUGAUGAAGCCCCCAUAAAAUCCCCAAAAGAGUAGGACUUGGAGAGCUCACAGGUUGGUGAGCACAUGGAGGUGCUGGGAGGGUGGUGUAUCCUGACAGAGAGUGGCAACUGCCCCUUUGUACAUAUCUUGCUCUGGGUUUUCAUCUGUAUUAUUUAUCAUAUCCUUUCAUUUAAAAAAAUGGUAAACAAGUGCUUUCCUGAGUUCUGUGAGCCGCUUUAGCAAAUUAGUUGAACCAAGGAGGGAGGGUCUUUGGAACGUGUCAUCUGUAGCUGGUGAGAAGCCCAGGUGAUGACCUGGGCUUGCGGCUGGGGUCUGAAGUGUGUGUGUGUUGGGGUGGGAGGGGGUCGGUGGGGGAGGGUCAGUCUUAUGGAACUGAGCCUUUAACCUGUGGUAUCAGGCUGUCUCCAAGUACACGGUGUCAGCAUUGAGUCAAUUUGCAUAGAAUUGCUUGGUGUGGGAAAAAGCCGCCACACAUUUGACACCCAGAAGUGAACUGUUUUCUGUGAGUAGUAAGGGAGACUCACGGGGAAGAAAGACAUAGUAGGGAAGAACUGGGUUUUCCCCUACAGAGGAAGGAAAAAAAGCGAUUUUUCCUUAACGGGCAUAGGGCAGAGUCAUGGAACUCCUCUAAAACAGCAGAGAAAAUGCAGAUGCCAUAUAGAGAAUGCAAAACAAACAAACAAAAAAAAGCAAGUGCCAUGUGGAAGAGUACAGUACAGUCUUGGGCUGGGAUUAUUGGAGACAUUUUCUGUUAUAUUUGCAAAGUUUGAAUAUUUUACAGUAUUUUUACUUUGUUUUAUCAUGAAAUAUAACAUUUAGAAAAGUGUGUAAGACAAGUGGAUGGUACAGUGAGUAACUACAAAGCAGGAACACCUAAGUAGUGGUCUGCACCGGUAUUCUAGGCAGUGGGAUCCUGUGUUCAUAAGGCUUGGCUCCUGAGCUCAUUUCAGCUUUGCCUUAUUUCAAUCAGCUAGAUUCGGUUGGUAGCAAAGGAAAACCAGAGAGCAUCACUUUAUUAGGGCAAGUCUUCCUUUCCAUUGGAAAGUAAACCGGUUUUUUACCGAUGGCCAAAGAGAAGCAUUUUCACAUGCAGGGCUGCACUUUAUGAUUAUCAGUUUACUACAGAUUGAACAGCAAUGACCAUUUCAUCCGUCUUUUCCCAGGCUGAAGCCAAGCAGUCUUCCUCUCCCUUGACAUGUCUGCUUUGCUUACUAGCAAUGCCCACUGUCCACUCCUGCCCUUGGUAUACAUCAGAAGAGAAAUAAUUAGGGGGACUCCUACAAACCAAUCUGAUGCUGCAUCUGUUCAUUUACGCUGGUAGCUGUCUGCAGAAGCAGCUGCGGACUAGUAUUCAAACAGAUUAGUAAAGAAAAUUCUGGAAGAAUAUAUUCCAAAAUAAUGACUCUCUGGCUGUUCCAAUUGCUGCCUGAACUUAUCCCCGUGCCGUCUCACGCUGUCUGCCAGUUCUUUCACUGGAAUAUGUUACCCAGUCUCCUUGGAAUCAUUGCCGGGUCUCCUUGGAAUGGAAACUGUGUCG